rnacentral:piRNA from 1 species
UUCUGCCUUAGCUGAAGAAAAACCUGAUGG